UGGGGAAUAUUGCGCAAUGGGGGAAACCCUGACGCAGCGACGCCGCGUGCGGGAUGAAGGCCUUCGGGUUGUAAACCGCUUUUGAUUGGGAGCAAGCCUUUUGGGUGAGUGUACCUUUCGAAUAAGCGCCGGCUAACUACGUGCCAGCAGCCGCGGUAAUACGUAGGGCGCAAGCGUUAUCCGGAAUUAUUGGGCGUAAAGGGGGCGCAGGCUGCUUCUUAAGUCUGAUGUGAAAGCCCACGGCUUAACCGUGGAAGUGCAUUGGAAACUGGGAAGCUUGAGUACAGAAGAGGAAAGUGGAACUCCAUGUGUAGCGGUGGAAUGCGUAGAUAUAUGGAAGAACACCAGUGGCGAAAGCGACUUUCUGGUCUGUCACUGACGCUGAGGCCCGAAAGCGUGGGUAGCAAACAGG
rnacentral:rRNA from 1 species